rnacentral:rRNA from 1 species
CAGCACCUCAAGUGGUCAGGAUGAUUAUUGGGCCUAAAGCGUCCGUAGCCGGACUAGUAAACCCUUGGGUAAAUUGGGCAGCUUAACUGUCCAAAUUCCGAGGGGACUGCUAGUCUUGGGACCGGGAGAGGUCAGAGGUACUCAAGGGGUAGGGGCUAAAUCCUGUAAUCCUUUGGGGACCACCAGUGGCGAAGGCGUCUGACUAGAACGGAUCCGACGGUAAGGGACGAAACCCUGGGGCGCGAACCGGAUUAGAUACCCGAGUAGUCC